UACGUAGGGGGCAAGCGUUGUCCGGAAUCAUUGGACGUAAAGAGCGUGUAGGCGGCCCGGUAAGUCCGCUGUGAAAGUCCAGGGCUCAACCCUGGGAUGCCGGUGGAUCUGUCGGGCUCGAGUCCGGAAGAGGAGUGUGGAAUUCCUGGUGUAGCGGUGAAAUGCGUAGAGAUCAGGAGGAACACCCGUGGCGAAGGCGGCGAC
rnacentral:rRNA from 1 species